GAUGAACGCUGGCGGCGUGCCUAAUACAUGCGAGUCGAGCGAACAGACGAGGAGCUUGCUCCUCUGACGUUAGCGGCGGACGGGUGAGUAACGCGUGGAUAACCUACCUAUAAGACUGGGAUAACUUCGGGAAACCGGAGCUAAUACCGGAUAAUAUAUUGAACCGCAUGGUUCAAUAGUGAAAGACGGUUUUGCUGUCACUUAUAGAUGGAUCCGCGCCGCAUUAGCUAGUUGGUAAGGUAACGGCUUACCAAGGCAACGAUGCGUAGCCGACCUGAGAGGGUGAUCGGCCACACUGGAACUGAGACACGGUCCAGACUCCUACGGGAGGCAGCAGUAGGGAAUCUUCCGCAAUGGGCGAAAGCCUGACGGAGCAACGCCGCGUGAGUGAUGAAGGUCUUCGGAUCGUAAAACUCUGUUAUUAGGGAAGAACAAAUGUGUAAGUAACUAUGCACGUCUUGACGGUACCUAAUCAGAAAGCCACGGCUAACUACGUG
rnacentral:rRNA from 1 species